rnacentral:rRNA from 1 species
UACAGAGGUCCCAAGCGUUGUUCGGAUUCAUUGGGCGUAAAGGGUGCGUAGGCGGCGCGGUAAGUCGGGUGUGAAAUCUCGGGGCUCAACCCCGAAACUGCACUUGAUACUGCCUUGCUAGAGUACUGGAGAGGAGAUUGGAAUUUACGGUGUAGCAGUGAAAUGCGUAGAUAUCGUAAGGAAGACCAGUGGCGAAGGCGAAUCUCUGGACAGUUACUGACACUGAGCACGAAGGCCAGGGGAGCAAACGGG